rnacentral:rRNA from 1 species
AUGACACCAUUCACACCUUUGGACUUCACGGAAUCCGGCGUGCUCAACAACAUAUUUGAGGAGAACAUUAUCAGCAGUGGAGGGUCUGGGAAGGUGCACCGUGUCCACCACCCUAGCCUUCACGGUCUCAUUGAGGAUCGCAGCAGCAGAAUAAUGGUUGUUAAGAAGAAGGGCAGCCUCGACGACUGGCUGCACCAUCAUGACCGCAAGGGCGCCCCUGCACCAUUGGACUGGCUGACAAAGCUGACCAUUGCUAUUGAUGCAUCCAGAGGCCUCAACUACAUCCACAAAGAGUGCAGACAGGCUAUUUUCCAUCGGGACAUCAAGUCAGGCAACAUUUUGUUUGACCCAGAGUUCCAUGCCAAGAUCGCCGACUUUAGGCUUGCCCGAAUGGUUGUCAACCCACGCCAGUCCCACCACAGGUCAGCCAUUUUUGGGACACACGGGUACAUGGCCCCUGAUGAGAAUCUCAAAUCCAGCAAGGCAUCUCAAACGUUUCUGUUGAGAUCUAACUGA